rnacentral:rRNA from 1 species
GAGGUAGAGCAAAUCCCAAAAACCGGUACUCAGUUCGGAUUGCAGGCUGCAACUCGCCUGUAUGAAGUCGGAAUUGCUAGUAAUCGCGGAUCAGCAUGCCGCGGUGAAUACGUUCCCGGGCCUUGUACACACCGCCCGUCACACCAUGAGAGCCGGGAACACCCGAAGUCCGUAGUCUAACCGCAAGGAGGACGCGGCCGAAGGUGGGUUUGGUAAUUGGGGUGAAGUCGUAACAAGGUAGC